AUUGAACGCUGGCGGCAGGCCUAACACAUGCAAGUCGAGCGGAUGAAGGGAGCUUGCUCCUGGAUUCAGCGGCGGACGGGUGAGUAAUGCCUAGGAAUCUGCCUGGUAGUGGGGGAUAACGUCCGGAAACGGGCGCUAAUACCGCAUACGUCCUGAGGGAGAAAGUGGGGGAUCUUCGGACCUCACGCUAUCAGAUGAGCCUAGGUCGGAUUAGCUAGUUGGUGGGGAAAAGGCCUACCAAGGCGACGAUCCGUAACUGGUCUGAGAGGAUGAUCAGUCACACUGGAACUGAGACACGGUCCAGACUCCUACGGGAGGCAGCAGUGGGGAAUAUUGGACAAUGGGCGAAAGCCUGAUCCAGCCAUGCCGCGUGUGCGAAGAAGGUCUUCGGAUUGUAAAGCACUUUAAGUUGGGAGGAAGGGCAGUAAGUUAAUACCUUGCUGUUUUGACGUUACCAACAGAAUAAGCACCGGCUAACUUCGU
rnacentral:rRNA from 1 species